rnacentral:ncRNA from 2 species
GGGGGCGCGUGGUCUGAUGGCCUUCGAACUGCGACGGCAGUGGAGGAAGCCGGUGCGACUCCGGCGCGGUCCCGCCACUGUCAGCCCCCCGGGGUGAGCCAGGAACUCCAGCCGUCGCCUCCUGCUAUCU